UAUAAAAAAGUUUAUUGUUUUCUCCAGUAUUUGACGUGGGACUUCGUCCCCUUCCAAAACAUUAAAAUUGGUAGUGGGUGUAGUAAAAUUGUAAUAUCUUUUUAACUAAAGUUUUCUGUGGGAAAGACUCUUAGAUUUAGCUUAUCAACACCAUCCUGAUGGAACCAUCCCUUGUCCUACGGGGUUACAUCGCAAAUAAUGCUCCUUUGUCAUUAAAAGUAGACGAUUUGUGUCCGGUUUUACUGCAUGGUAUAGCCGUGCAAUGCCAUUGAAUUCAGCAUGGAUGCUUUCUGCACCUUGUUCUCCAUAGAACCCUAAACCUGUACCCCAAGCAGAAACAAAGUUUACGGCAUGAUCCUCAAGUAGAUGUAACUUUGGAGUGAUCGAUUGAAGGGGAAAUAUAUCUCGAAGAAACACCAUCAGUUCUUUUACAUUUAGUUCUAAAACAAAUGUUUACAUGUUAUGGCUUUUAUAUAUGUGUGUAAUUUGUGCAAAAAUGUGACCAAUUAUUAGUGUUUAUAUAAUAUACCUACCAAAGUUUUCAA